GAUGAACGCUCGCGAUAGGCUUAACACAUGCAAGUCGAGGGGCAGCAUGGUCUUAGCUUGCUAAGACUGAUGGCGACCGGCGCACGGGUGCGUAACGCGUAUGCAACUUGCCUCACAGAGGGGGAUAACCCGUCGAAAGACGGACUAAUACCGCGUACACUUGGGAUAGGGCAUCCUGACCCAAGGAAAUGAAAUUCGCUGUGAGAUAGGCAUGCGUCCCAUUAGCUAGUUGGUGAGGUAACGGCUCACCAAGGCGACGAUGGGUAGGGGAACUGAGAGGUUGAACCCCUAAAAUGGUACUGAGACACGGACCAGACUCCUACGGGAGGCAGCAGUGAGGAAUAGUGGGCAAUGGGCGAGAGCCUGAACCAGCCAAGUCGCGUGAAGGAUGACUGUCUUAUGGAUUGUAAACUUCUUUUAUACGGGAACAACAAGAGAAACGGGUGGCUCCCUGCAGGUACCGUAUGAAUAAGCAUCGGCUAACUCCGUG
rnacentral:rRNA from 1 species